AUGAUCAGCUUUCAGUAUUGUUUCAUGGUUUUGUGUUGAUUAAUUUAUUCCUCCAUAAUUGCACUUAGCGUGAUUCUUAAGUGUGUUCUUGUGUGAGUUUCCUGCAGGGAAAGAAAGGGGUAUGGCUAAAGUUGCCACUCGAUCGCUCUGAGUUUGUCCCUAUUGCAGUUGAGGUAUAAAACCAUGUUUGUAAUAAUCUGGUUUUUAAUCCAUACCUUCAAAAUGAAGAUGCUGCUGCAUUGUUGUUUGAAAUUAGGUCCUUUAAAGCAGUGAAUUUAGUGAAUAUAUAUAUUAUUCAUGUGUUUAACGAACAUCUGAAUAUCGACGAGUAUCCUUUUCAUUUUUAAAUGAUUACCGAUCUACCUGAAGCCUGAGUGCUGUAUUUUUGUUUUCUUCCAAAUUUUGUUUGAUCAAUUUGUAUCACAGUUUUUCACCUUCACCUAACAUAGUAGGCUCUGUGUCACAUCAUGGUGCAUAUUGCUAAAAGGAAUCGAUAUCAGAAGAAUAUAACGACUUAUUUCUGGAGAAACUUUGUCAUAUUGGGUGUCAGUAUUACGGUAAGGAUCGUGUAAUGUUUAUUUUUCAGACAGUUAUCAAGAUAUACUUGUUCCAUGUUAAAUAACUAUAAUAGAAACAACAGAUGAUUUUAUGCAAGCCUUUUUGUCUCUUCCAGGGUGACUCGAGACCAGUGGUUGAACACUGAGGAGUUCAUUGAUGCAGUGGCAAAGGAGCUGAGAGCAAGACUCCUGGGCAAAUGAAAUUUGUAAAUUCUACUAAAGAAAUUUGUAAAUCAUUUGUCGCCAAAAUCAUUUGUAAAUGAACACUGAGGAGUUGCUUCUUAUGUCCGUUUGAGUGUGCCUUGGAGUCACUUUUGCAUGCUAUUUUUUCAUUUAUCACCAAAAUGAUUGUUGCUGACUUGCUUCUGAUGUCAUUUUGAGUGUGCCUUCAUGCUACCCCCAUCUAAUGUUUGCUUU
rnacentral:lncRNA from 1 species